UAAUACGGAGGGUCCAAGCGUUAAUCGGAAUUACUGGGCGUAAAGCGCGCGUAGGCGGAUAWUUAAGUCAGAUGUGAAAUCCCUGGGCUCAACCUAGGAACUGCAUUUGAWACUGGKUAUCUAGAGUAUGGUAGAGGUGAGUGGAAUUUCAGGUGUAGCGGUGAAAUGCGUAGAGAUCUGAAGGAACAUCAGUGGCGAAGGCGACUCACUGGGCCAUUACUGACGCUGAGGUGCGAAAGCGUGGGUAGCAAACAGGAUUAGAUACCCUGGUAGUCCACGCCCUAAACGAUGUCAACUAGGUGUGUGAGAGUCUAACUCUUGCGUAUCGAAGCUAACGCGAUAAGUUGACCGCCUGGGGAGUACGG
rnacentral:rRNA from 1 species